rnacentral:rRNA from 1 species
GAUGAACGCUGGCGGCGUGCCUAAUACAUGCAAGUCGAGCGAACGGACGAGAAGCUUGCUUCUCUGAUGUUAGCGGCGGACAGGUGAGUAACACGUGGAUAACCUACCUAUAAGACUGGGGUAACUUCGGGAAACCGGAGCUAAUACCGGAUAAUAUUUUGAACCGCAUGGUUCAAAAGUGAAAGACGGUCUUGCUGUCACUUAUAGAUGGAUCCGCGCUGCAUUAGCUAGUUGGUAAGGUAACGGCUUACCAAGGCAACGAUGCAUAGCCGACCUGAGAGGGUGAUCGGCCACACUGGAACUGAGACACGGUCCAGACUCCUACGGGAGGCAGCAGUAGGGAAUCUUCCGCAAUGGGCGAAAGCCUGACGGAGCAACGCCGCGUGAGUGAUGAAGGUCUUCGGAUCGUAAAACUCUGUUAUUAGGGAAGAACAUAUGUGUAAGUAACUGUGCACAUCUUGACGGUACCUAAUCAGAAAGCCACGGCUAACUACGUG